UUGUAGAGGCGAAUUUCCCAUUAAAAAUACUGUAUUCAGGGCCUGCAUUGUAAUUAUGUUUAAGAGGCGAAUUUCCCUUUGAAAAUACUGUUUCAAUUGAAUUUCCGCAACGUGGUGACGGGCGCAGGCGUAUUUAACCUUGGUUCAGGUUUGUUUCUCUCCCAAGUGUGAAUGAAAAAUAUACGGAAGACAGCAGAGGAGUGCCAGGAACUUCUGAACUACAGCUUCACAGAGACUGGAGAGUCCCAGACAGACAUCAUGACGUAUCCAGAGAUCUAGGACUAUUACAUUCUCUAUACUUUUGAAGUUUCAAUGACAUUUGGAAAUUCAGGGAUCAGAUGGGAUUUACAGUAGGCUAUUUAGAAUAAUCUCUGUCACAUUUUAAGGACGACAGGGGAUCGGGAGAUGAAGGUAAAUUAUGUCAUGUCAUUUAUUUGAAAGUGUAAAACAAGGAACAGUUGCGAAUAUUUGUAUGAUUAGUGAAAUCACGAAACCUGGCACUCGUUAACUGAAGGUAUGCAAGAAGACCGCAGAUCAAAGAAGUGCCGCGCACAGAGUGGUACAGAUCGAGCAGCACGCAAGAUGCAGGAGGACCCGGUGUAUGAUUUCCCUGAGCCGGUAGGGAAGCCGAUAGGAGAGAGGCGGGCUUGUCUUCAGCGUAGCUCCCUGAAGAGCAUCAGUGUGCUGGACCGUCUGCUUCUCACACACUCCGUCUGGCUGCAGCUGUCCAUCAACUCUGCUACCGCUCUGCACAUCCUACAGAGGGAGCCGCCUGGGACCUUUCUAGUGCGCAGGUCCAACACCUCGCAGAAGAAAGUGCUGUGUGUCAGGCUUGCAGAUGACUGCCUCCCCUCCUUUUUCAAACAAUUUGUCAUCCAGGAAUUGGACUCCACUUUCUCCUUGGAGAGAGCUGCUAUCAGUUUCCCUGACCUCUGCCGGCUCAUCGCCUUCUACUGUGUUAGCCGGGAUGUGUUGCCCUUCCCCCUGGAGCUCCCUGAGGCCAUAGUCAAGGCUUCAUCCCACAAACAGCUGGAAUCCAUCUCCCACAUGGGAGUGGAGUUCUGGAGCUCGCCGCUGAACUUCAGAGGUCCACGCAAUGGGCCCCCACCAGUGGAGGAGGCACCGCUGCCCCCUAGCCCCACCCCUGAGGAUUGUGCCACACCCGAGGAGAGCCCCACCCUGUUUCAAGAGUUCUGCUCCAUCCAAACACGCAGCCCCCGGGAGCUGAACUGUGGGGCAGCAGGCCAAGGGGCUCUCUGUUUCAUCAACCCACUCUUCCUGCAGUUCCAGACUGCACUGCACAGACGCCGCCACCAGUUCAAACGCAGCCUCAAGGUGCGUGUCUCCACUGAGAACUCUAGCCCAUUGUCCCCACCAUUUGCUCCUCCCCCUCCCCCACCUCUGCUGGCCAAGAAAAAGAGCAAGAAGGUCCAUCAGGCCAGUAGAGCAGUGGAGGCCAGAGUGGAGGGUGAGGGAGGGACAGCACCCGUUCAGGAGGACUCAGACUACUUGCAGCCAUGCUUGGUUCUCCCAGUUCUUCCAAAAAAGACCAGGGUCACACCCACACUGUCUCCCACUGCAGAGGAGGAGGACUACCAUGUGCCCAUAGGUCUCCUGCAGGGACUGGGCCAGGAGAAAUGAGGUGAGGGGGAGGAGGUGAGUGAGGAGGUGGAUCUCUUGCUGGAGCAGAGAUAUGCUCCCUCCCUGAGUGAGCUGGACAGCAGCAGUUCCCUCAGCAGCUUGGAGGAGACAGAGGAGAACCCAGAGCGACCUCCCCUCACCAGGGGAACAAGUAACCCCUCUCCCCCAUGCACCUCUCCCGCUCGUCAGCCCGUCUCAGCCUUGCGCAAGCUUAGUGCAGCUUUUGUGUCCUUCUUUGUGCCUGAGAAGCGUGUGGCGAGGCUGGUGGAGGACCUGUCCCGUGACAAGAGGACUGCGUUUGGUGUCCUGGUGCAGGACUUCCUCAGGCAGCAGCGCGAGGUGAUCAAGCCUCAGUGCCAGAGAUCUGGCAUAGAGCUACUGCACGGCAUCCGUCUCUUCCUCUCCCAGGCCAAGACCUUCCUGCUGGACUGUGGAGACCUACAGCCCCCCAUUGAGACCAUGGUGCAUGAUGAUGAGAAAGACCUGGUGCUGGAGAAAGCCAUGUUCCGCUGUGUGCUGAAACCUUUGAAAGGACAGAUAGAUGGGACACUGCAAACUUUGCAUGAGCGAGACCGCUCCACCCAAAGCAUGGCAGAGAGCCUGGCUAAGGCCAGGGGAAAGACCCCGUUGGAGUGUUUUGGAGUGCGGGUGGGAGUGCCGGAUGCUGCCGAUGUGGAGAAGGUGCUGCAGAAGUUAGCUGUCAUGAGGCGGGCAUACUCUCCCAUUGACAAGGUUGUGCUGCUUCUGCAGGUCUGCAAGCUCAUCUAUAAAGCCAUGAAGGACAAUUCAGGCCAGGAGUUCGGUGCAGAUGACUUCCUGCCAGCCUUGUCCUAUGUCCUCGUACAGUGUAACAUGCCUGAGCUGUCUGUGGAGGUGGAGUACAUGAUGGAACUGCUGGAGCAAUCAUGGCUCAAAGGGGAGGGUGGGUACUACCUGACCAGUGUGUAUGCCAGCCUGUGCCUGAUCCAGAGCAAGCCUGAAGUAGUACCCUCCAGUGGGCUGACCCGCGAGGCCAGAGACUCUUUGAAAGACUGGAGCCGGCGCCGGAGCCUCCAGGCGCAAAGCCAGAAAAACUUACGACAGCAACUGAGGUGUGUCAGGGUUCUGUUUCAAGACGGAGAGAACAGCUGGAUGAAAACCCUGCAGUGGAGGGCAGGAGUUAGUGGGGGGGCCCUGACCCAGCUCUGUGCUGCUAAAUUUGGGGUGGACAACCCAGAACUGUACAAACUGUACUGGCGGAGUGAGGGGGAGAUCAAAGACCUCCCAACACAGGCCCAGAUCCAGGACCUACAGGGCCAAGGCAGCAGUGGGACACCCCUCAUAUACCAGCAAGCCAACCAGGAUCAACUCAAGACUCGCAAACAGGAGACGGUGGACCUUAUGGGAUUACCUUGAGAGGUCCACUUUGGUAUCCACACAUUAUUGACCGAUGUUCUUAAACCACUCAACUGCUAGAAAUAAUUGCUUUGUACUUUAUUAAACUAUUUAAAUGAAAAAUGCCAACAUAGUCUAACUUUCCAGAUUACCAGAAGCGCGCGGCCCAUUGGAGAUUCAUCUCGCAAAUCUAGUGCGAAGGCAUUUUAGAAACAUUGCCCCUAUAGCUAAUACCGGACACUCAUUCAUUCUUCAUCGCGCAGUCUUCUAAACUCCCGACUCCAUUUAAUGCCAAGAUGUUUAUUUUUAUUUGUGAUUAUACUUUUGUAAUGCUUUUUGUGACGUAGAUCAUAAUUAGUUAGUCUCAGGUUGCGUGAACCUCGUAAUGUUACGUGGAAAAUGGGAUGCAGAAUUAAAUGUAUAUCACACUCGAACAAAUGCGACCAGUUAUUUUUCGUAUUUGCAUUUCUAUUCACUAACAAAUGCGAGUGAACUGCUGGCACGUUAGAGCCCACUGAAUGUCCGCCAACGUUAGCUUGAAACAAUUUGUGUUUACCUUUCCACAACACACGGAGUCGAAAAGGGAUUUGUCCAUGUUGAAGUAAAACUGACAGUCGGCAAACUCAGCAUUUCAACAAACAGAAAGGGCAGACACGGGAUAGCUACGUCGAAUAAUGAUAUAUUCAUCUCCAUGUCCGUUGACACAAACUCCGUAUAUGUCUGUGUUGCAGCUCGAGAAUCGGGAUGUUAGAUUUACUCAGUGGAUUUAUUUUUUAUUAAAAUGUAACAAAAAUCAGGCCCUAUUCAUUUCUACGUACUUUCAAUUCGGACCUCGUACAUGGACAGAAAAUGUCGUAGUUGGUACGCAAAAUGCGUGCAUGUUGGCAGGUCUGAGAUUGCAAGGCAAUGAAAAAUAAAUACAAAGCUCUGUGUAAAUUAUAUUCCAAUGUGUACCAGUUUAGUAUGCAGCUGAUUACACAAGGUAUCUGAGAUAUUUUUCAUAACAAAAAACAGACAUCGGUCUUAUUGUUUUAAUCACAUGUAUUUUUGUAUAGGUUGUUUCUCAACAACCUAACCAAGAGAGAGACUUAUAGUACUGUGGACCCUUUGACAAUGCUUUGCCUUUGACCAUGUCACAGUGGUGGCUUCAAGUGCCCUGGACACAAGGGACAAAAAGCUUAUCAUAUGAUUAAUAUUAUUUGGAAGGAGUUCUAUAAAAAGAACAUUGUCAAGA